rnacentral:tRNA from 1 species
GCCUUCGUGGUGUAGUGCUCAGAACGCUGGCCUCGUGUUCCAGAGAUCCGUGGUUCGAGUCCCGACGAAGGCA